UCGGGAAUUUUGGGCAAUGGGCGAAAGCCUGACCCAGCAACGCCGCGUGAAGGAUGAAGUAUUUCGGUAUGUAAACUUCGUAAGAAUAGGAAGAAUAAAUGACGGUACUAUUUGUAAGGUCCGGCUAACUACGUGCCAGCAGCCGCGGUAAUACGUAGGGACCAAGCGUUGUUCGGAUUUACUGGGCGUAAAGGGCGCGUAGGCGGCGUGGUAAGUCAUCUGUGAAAUCUCCGAGCUUAACUCGGAACGGUCAAGUGAUACUGCUGUGCUAGAGUACAGAAGGGGCAAUCGGAAUUCUUGGUGUAGCGGUGAAAUGCGUAGAUAUCAAGAGGAACACCUGAGGUGAAGACGGGUUGCUGGGCUGAUACUGACGCUGAGGCGCGAAAGCUAGGGUAGCAAACGGGAUUAGAUACCCAAGUAGUCCCUGAGCGGGCUGGCAAGGCGCAU
rnacentral:rRNA from 1 species